rnacentral:lncRNA from 1 species
ACCAACGCUGAAGCUGGAGGAUGGAGCACAGGAAGGCGUGAGUGCAGGGUUGAAUUCUUCAGGAAUACGUCUUGGGAAGCAAGAGAUGAUAUCGCGACAGUUAAAAGGAAGAGGCAUGAACUUCAGUGUUGAUAAGUGGAAGCAAGGUCGGAACCCACUGCCUCCCUGUAUCCCAAGCUUAUCUUCCGGAGCAUUCUUCCUGGAAAAUGGCACUUACGCUUUAUGCCACCACGACUGAAGGCCUGUCUUCCUUUCUGAGGGAGCAGGCGAGCCUUCUUGGGUGGGAUGGAAAAUACGUUUCUAUUCUUAGCAUUAUUAAUUCUAAUCCAGGAGGGCACAAAGAGAAGGCCACUUCCCUCUGUGCCCUCAGGACGUGUAUGCAGGGGAGACGAGAAUUAAAUAAUGAACAGGUCCCAAACAAAGCCAUUCGAUGCUGGGCACGGCGACGUCUUUCUGUUUCUCAAUGCUACUAAAACCCCACAAUGAGCUCUUCUGGUAACACAGACCAGAUUUCUAGAUGUCCUACUGGCAGCCGACCUUUUCUCGUGAACUCCAGUCAGUGGCCAAGGGAGAGGAGCAUCAGUGCUUUAAAAUCUCUUUUCUAUGCCUGAAGCAAACAUUUUACAACAUUUCUCCUUGAUACGAAAUCUCUGCUUGGACAUCUGGCUUCACAGUGAGGAACUUUCAAUACACUAGCUUCAAAGAAAGGGCUUGGCCCUGCUGGUGCAGUGAUGCCAGAAGAAUGUUCCACCGUCUUUCUACAGAACUAUUUCUAACAAUUCCCCCCAAUGAACUUCUGAGAGUCCAGUGGAGAGAGUUAACUAACAGACAGCUCGGCUUUGGUGUGCGCCUGAUGGGCCCUUGCUGAGCUCAGAAAUGAGGGAUAAACAAGGUGGAGGACGUUUUCUUAGAAUCUGCCCACGAAGUCCCUGUUACCAGCAGAUCGGCGUUAGCUUCGCAGUCUGCUGCGCCAUCGCAAAGCCUUCACAGGCAUGCUGCCGUCAAGAAACUAACAGGAGAGGGAAGGGACAUGAUUGGUUUCCAGAGCCUUCAUGUAUGAGAUAACAGCAUUCAUUUAUUCAGCAUAUUUCUAGAACUUCCAGUGACCCAAACUCCGAGGGCAGCGCUUGCUCUCAGGAAGCUUAGAGUCUGCUGGAAGGACAUUCAUCCAAACAGAGGCUCAGCAUCUCCUCUUUGCAACGGGAAAACCCUCUCUUAAAAUCACAGAUUAUUUCGGGAAGGGUGUGGUUAUCUUGUGAGGCCACAGUCCUGACUGACGUCGUGAGGGUGUUUGCAGUUUCUCUUUGUCCCCUUCGGGGGAUAUCCGCGUGUCUCACUAUGCACUGUGUCUGGCGCAGCGUGUUGUCCCAGAACCACCUGGAGAUGAAGUACAAGCUCUAUGUCACCUCCCUAGAGCCUGAAGCGCCUGAGCAGCAAAACACACUCAAGCUCAAGGUUUUGGAUAAAGGAAAAACUUGGGGACCGGCAUUACAGUGUGGCGAAAACUUCACUGGAUAAAGGAACAAAGCUGGCACGAGCUUCUCUCUGACACUCCACAAUCUUAAAGGGAAAGGACUCUAUGUAGGGAGCCUGUGCCGUCACCAGAGAGCGUGAUGGUUGAGGGCGAGCUGUUGAUACGGUGGUGAGAAGGGCAACAUCUAGACAAGUGGUUCUCAAAGGUUUUGGUCUAUUCUUUAACAAUAAAGAAUCCCAAAAAGGUCUUAUUUAUGUAGGUUCCAUCAGUAUUCACCAUAUUAGAAAUUAAAAUAAAGAAAUAUUAAAAUACUUAUUAACUCAUUAAAAAUAACAGAAACCCAUUAUGUGUGACAUAAAUAUGCUUUUUAAAUAAAAAAUAAACUUCUUUUCAAAGCAAAAAAAAAAAAUAGCAAGAAGUGUUUCAUAGUUUUGCAAAUCUUUUUACUGCCUGGCUUAACAGAAGGCAGCUAGAUUCUCAUACCUGCUUCUGCAUUCCAUGUCUUGCAAUGUGUUGCUUUGGUUGAAGUAUAAGAAAACAAUCCAGUGUCACACAGAUAAGCAGCUGGAGAGGGAGGGGUCUUUUAGAAACCUUUUCAGGUGACUGUGGAUAUUCCUAGUGACUACAGCAAAAAUUAGCAAGUAGCAGUUUCUUUAAAAAGUUGCAAUGCAGAAUCGGAAACUCUACACCUUCAUAUACUAUUUUAAUGUUACAUUAAAAUUCGUUAGUCAUAGUUCCCGUUGUGGCUCAGUGGUUAACGAAUCCAACAAGGAACCAUGAAGUUUCGGGUUCGAUCCCUGGCCCUGCUUAGUGGGUUAAGGAUCUGGUGCUGCCAUGAGCUGUGGUGUAGGUCGCAGACGUGUUUCGGAUCCUGUGUUGCUGUGGCUGUGGUGUAGGCUGGCAGCUGUAGCUCUGAUUAGACCCCUAGCCUGGGAACCUCCACAUGCCGAGGGUGUGGGCCUAGAAAAGAAAAAAAAAAAAGAAAAA